UACGAAGGGGGCUAGCGUUGCUCGGAAUCACUGGGCGUAAAGGGUGCGUAGGCGGCGCGGUAAGUCGGGUGUGAAAUCUCGGAGCUUAACUCCGAAACUGCAUUCGAUACUGCCGUGCUUGAGGACUGGAGAGGAGACUGGAAUUUACGGUGUAGCUGGUGGAAAUGCGUAGGAUAAUCGUAAGGAAGACCAGUGGCGAAGGCGGGUCUCUGGACAGUUCCUGACGCUGAGGCACGAAGGUCAGGGGAGCAAACGGG
rnacentral:rRNA from 1 species